ACUCUGUUAACUGGUCAGAGGGAUAAAUGGAACUGAUCAGAUGGUAUUGAGCAUUCAGAAAAGUGAAACACAUUGUCUUUUCUCCAGGCACCCAUGUCUCCAAACGUUGGACAACAGAUGGUAGUGACAUGUUUAAAACUAGCUGCAGUGUCAGAAUUGUGAGUCUUUCCAGGGGCUAAUCCAUCUUGACCUGCCAGUUGCCACCUUUGUUCUGAAAAUAAAAAUGUGUCCAGUCUUGUUGCCUUCCUCACCUAUAGGUUAUUCUUCUAGAAAGCUAAGGAACAUGUUCUAAAUGAAGUUUUGUUUGUCUUCUUGUACGGAACAAUUAAUCUAUAUAUUUUGCAAAUAAGGCACAGGAGAUGGUUAACUUUGGAUAGGUGAUAUACAAAAUUGCUGCAAAUUAUCAUAAUCUAAUA